UUUAUUUUGCUGGAGACCCUUGUAUGCCUGAGGACCUUAUAUGCAUUUUGAAGACCCUGCUGCACUUAAUUAAGAGCUGGAUCCUUCAGACAGCAGCCCCCAGCAGUAUCACAAAGGAGCACGUGUGUAAGGGAAAAGCAAGCAUUUCCCAUGCAAACCAGGGCUUGCAUGCUCUGCCAGGUCAAUUACAAGCUUUUGCAGCCACAGAGGAAACAGUUUUUUCUCCCUUUUAUUAAAAUUGCUGCUCCAUCCCGUUGCGGAUUGAAAGAGCUACUUGGCUGCCCAUGGAUCCCAGAUGACCUCUAGCCACAAGACCAGGCCUUUACCAGAAAGGAGGGGGAACCAUCAAUCUCUAAAUGAAGACAUUGUCCUCCUGAUUAUCUCUUUGUUGCCAGUGGUGUGUGAGGCUACAGAAAGGAAAAGCGAGCAGUUCCAAGAUGGCUGUGGGCAAAGGAGCGUGUCCCGGCCUUGAUGAGGCUUUUAUUCUGUCUGGCACCGCACAAACUGCUCUGUCAGCAAGAGAUGUCUCUAUACAUUAGGCAUGAAUUUUCUGGGAAAAACUAGGACUCUUUUUCCCCCCCCCCACCUCCUCCCACCACCACCACCACUCACAUGUAGCACGUCUCUCCUGCCCAAGUGUUGUGGCAGUCUGUUAUGUCUUGAGGUUCCACUGUCUUCCUCCCUUGCUGGGGCUUGGAUGAACCUGUCCAUAUAUAUUUAGAGUCAGGAGAGAAAGGUUCUGACAGAUACAGGCAGGGAGCAGGCAUCUGUCAGCUGGGACUCGAUGCAGGGAGGGAGAAGCCAUAAAUGGAUGUCUGAGCUGAGCUAGUGAAGGUCUUAAGAAUCCAUAGAUUACAUCACCUGGUCUUUAAUUUACUGCAGUGGACAAAAAAUAAAAAAAGAGUACUGGAGUAGUUUGCAUGGAAGGACUUUGGGUUGGUGACUAGGAGGAACUUCCAGAGUAAUAGGAAUUGGUAUAUAGGAUUUCUGUCUGUGAAGGAUAGAGGACAAACUUCAUGCACCUUGUUCUGAGGAGGUAACACGAGCAUUCUGCUAGGGGCAUGGAGAAAGGGACUGUGUAUUGAAAGAAUGGAGCACAGAGGUAUCAUAGUCACUGGGCUUCAGUAGUAACUUUGUUCAUAGAUGGAAUUUCUUCCUACCUUCUCCAUAUCUUCCCCCCCUUGCGCCAGUUGCAAUCUUAGUUCCUGCCUUUACAGCACUGAUUAGCAACCUGGUCUCUUGUAUCUCAGCAUCCAGUGCUUGUUGUCUCUGACUUCAUCAGCUGAAAAUCUCUUGGUGUCCUCCUGAUCUUGGCCUUGGCUACGCAGCGUUCCUUUUUGUGUAUGUGUUUUCAUCUUUGUCCUCCUGUAACUUAUUUGGUGGCUCAGAAUUCACUACAGCUUGUUUUUUUGUUGUUGUGUUUGUUUGUUUGUUUGCUAUUGUUCUUAUAAAACCUGGAUCCUGAGAGGUUUGUGAAGAUCUUCUGACUUUGGUAUCUUCAUUGCAGCAGCCUGUCCUUUUAGCUCAGCACUCUCUUAAAUGAGUGGUGCACCCACCUCUCUUCAGCAAGGAGCAGAGUGCUUUCCAUGGGACUUAGAGUCCUAGCUUUCUGUCUCACCGGUCUCUCAGUUAAUUGCUAACUUUGUACUCAUGAGAGGGUACUGCAGUGUUACGAUAUCCUUAUUCCCAAAUACUUGGGGGGAAGUUAUCGUAGGCACAGAUUCCUUUUUGCAGCCAAAUUGCAUACAUUCUGCCAACGCAUACUAUCCAAGCACAGUGAAUCAUGCAUUGCGAAGUGCCCCUUCAGUUUCUAAUUAGCACAUCUAGACUGAGCAGCCUCAAGUUUUUCCAUGUAUCUAUAUAGAAAACAAGCUAGCGUUAAUAAGGCAGACACCUUAUAAAAUGUGUCUGGGGAACAAAGCUGCAAGAAAAGGCUUCCAUUUUGCCAGCCACUGGGUUAUGUGACCUGAAGAGAUGAGCUAACUGUUUUUAUAGCUUCUCUGAGUUGACUGUUUAGAGCUAGCCCAGAGUGUGUAACUUUUAGUUUUGCUAGGAUGUGAUGCUGCUUGUUCCCCUCCUGCAGAAGCUUAAAAUGCUGUUCAAGCCACCUCCUGUCCACUACGCAUUUCCUACAAGUGCUUCCACUUUCAGAUCUAUUUCAUCUCCAUGAAAUGGGGAUAUCACAAUUAUAUCAGUUCACCAUAACCCAAGGACAGCUGCACAGCAAACUCUUUAUCUCUAGCUGGGUGUCAUUUACUGAGGCUCAUGAGCCUCACUCUUCCUUUGUGCCCCAAAAAACUCAGAUUGCUGCAGCUCCACCACACCUGAGUGCCUGGGGCACUGCCUGGCUCCUGCUGAAAUUAGCUAGGUAUUGGUGGAGAUGCUGCCAUGGUCCACUGAAAUCUCACAGGCUUUCACCCUCAAACCCUCACUGAGGAAGGAGGUUACACGGUGCAGCUGCACUCCAAGUUAGCGUGAUGGUGUGUGUUGCUGCCAGUGGUGGCUGAACACCAUCAUGAGGCAGGAAUUUCUCCUUGUGGUGUUGCCUCCUCACUCAGCAGCCUCUUCACUGAAUUGUCACUUUUGAGAAGGGCAGGACACUUAUUAGGCAGUUAUUCCACUCAUUGCACAUCUGUUCUUUCUUGUGAUGAGCCGGAACAUUCCCUGCUGCACCAAAACAUAGGCUUGGCUUUUAGGACAUCAGUCUGAGCCCAGUAUAAUAAGGAAUCUUUUUUUCCAUCCACCAUUCCAAGCCUGUGUUGAAAUUCAAUUUGGGUUGGAGGACAAUCUCUGAGGCAAACAAUCCCCAGUGAGUAUUUCCAAAGAGGCUUGAAUAUACUCUUUUGAAGACAUCAGUGGUUGCCCUGGGGCCUUCCAGCCUUUGCACUGCUCCACACACAAGGCAACCAGGAACAUGGAGUUUAUUGAACAUGUUGGUUUCCAUAUGUCCACAACGUUGAGGGCUCCAGUGUCUGUCAUAUCUAUCAUUCUGAAGAUUCUGCAUGCGUUAAGCUCCUGCCAUUAGAGAUGCAGGCUUCUUGCUCCAGCAUCACUUGAUGCUUUAGCAGCUGCUCAAUUUCCAUUCAGACAGGCCUGUCUAUUGCUUUCCACUGCUAUUUUGUCUCCAGUCUUGCCCAUGGGAGGGAUGAGUAAGUGAUGGGGAGGAGGUGGGCACCGACGGCUCUGACAGAGGCAUGUUUGUACUGGAUGUUCAUGUUGUUCCUCCAUAUCCAACAGAGUACAGUCCGUCUCCCCUGCACAGUGAGGGGUGCACAAAGCAUUUCUGUGUGUUCAGAGGGAGCUGUGCUGAUAUUGCCUCUGGCUCCUUGUGUGCAAUUGGGAGGCUCAGAUGCGGUCAUUGCCUUUUGAAGCCCUCACUGACUCAGACCUCCUACUUGCGUCUGGUGGGAUUAAGCCAUCUUGGCUGUGAGUCGGGAACCAUCUGCAGGCCUGGAGUUCCUUUUGUUUGUAAUUCAGUACCUCUGUGGUACUGGUGAUGUUAUGGUAGGGCACUGACUGUGUCUGAAGAAGUUCCUCCAUUCGGUUUAUCUUCUCUCACUAUGGCUUCUUGUGACACCCAAUGGGAUGUAGCAAGAGAAGGAAGAGGUGCAACACUUUCCAGAUAUAGGGAACUGCUCCAAAAGUAAUGCCUCCUAUUUUAUUAUGUUGGCCUACAACAUCAGAAGUGGAUGUUGGUGGUAUGGCAGUUGAGGUUGAACCUUCCCACCAUGUGGUAUGCAGACUCUUGUUCAUUGCUGAUGAAAAUGCGUAGCUAAUGGUGGUGACUAUAUUGAAAAAGUGUUCUAUAGCUGAGAAUUUGCUCUAUCAAACAGUGUUAUUGUGCUCUUUGUAGCUGUUGUAGUUUCCAUGGAAAUAAAUAGAAGGCAUUACAUCCAGAGUGACCUGCGUAUAAAGAAGGAUUAAAAAAACCUUGUCCCCAACUUUUUUAUUUUGAGCAGUGGAAAUGUCAUAUCUUUCUUUCCCAAGAGAAAAAAAGCUCCUUCUCUUUCACAUGGCAUUUCUUUCACAAGCUUACAUGUUUCUUUUUGGCUUUACCACACUGUUCAUUUGUACCCACCAUGUAUUACUGAAGAAUCUGAGAAGAUAAAAAUGAACGUUCUUUGAAACAUUUG
rnacentral:lncRNA from 1 species